rnacentral:rRNA from 1 species
UACAGAGGUCCCAAGCGUUGUUCGGAUUCAUUGGGCGUAAAGGGUGCGUAGGCGGCGCGGUAAGUCGGGUGUGAAAUCUCGGGGCUUAACUCCGAAACUGCAUUCGAUACUGCCGUGCUUGAGGACUGGAGAGGAGACUGGGAAUUUACGGUGUAGCGGUGAAAUGCGUAGAUAUCGUAAGGAAGACCAGUGGCGAAGGCGGGUCUCGUGGACAGUUCCUGACGCUGAGGCACGAAGGUCAGGGGAGCAAACGGG